AUGAACGCUGGCGGCGUGCCUAAUACAUGCAAGUCGAGCGCACAGACGAGGAGCUUGCUCCUCUGACGUUAGCGGCGGACGGGUGAGUAACACGUGGAUAACCUACCUAUAAGACUGGGAUAACUUCGGGAAACCGGAGCUAAUACCGGAUAAUAUAUUGAACCGCAUGGUUCAAUAGUGAAAGACGGUUUUGCUGUCACUUAUAGAUGGAUCCGCGCCGCAUUAGCUAGUUGGUAAGGUAACGGCUUACCAAGGCAACGAUGCGUAGCCGACCUGAGAGGGUGAUCGGCCACACGGGAACUGAGACACGGUCCAGACUCCUACGGGAGGCAGCAGUAGGGAAUCUUCCGCAAUGGGCGAAAGCCUGACGGAGCAACGCCGCGUGAGUGAUGAAGGUCUUCGGAUCGUAAAACUCUGUUAUUAGGGAAGAACAAAUGUGUAAGUAACUAUGCACGUCUUGACGGUACCUAAUCAGAAAGCCACGGCUAACUACGUG
rnacentral:rRNA from 1 species